rnacentral:rRNA from 1 species
AAAGGAAUAGACGGGGGCCCGCACAAGCGGUGGAGUAUGUGGCUUAAUUCGAUGCUACGCGAAAAACCUUACCUAGGCUUGACAUAGACUAGACCGGGUAUGAAAGUACCCUUCCCUUCGGGGCUAGUUUACAGGUGCUGCAUGGCUGUCGUCAGCUCGUGUCGUGAGAUGUUCGGUUAAGUCCGUCAACGAGCGCAACCCCUGUCCUUAGUUGCCAGCGAGUAAUGUCGGGAACUUUAAGGAGACUAACCUACUAUGUAGGUGGGAAGUGGGGACGACGUCAAGUCAGUAUGGCCCUUACGCCUAGGGCUGCACACGUACUACAAUGCAUGGUACAGAAAGAAGCAAGACCGCGAGGUGGAGCAAAUCUCCAAAACCAUGCCCAGUUCAGAUUGAAGUCUGAAAUUCGACUCCAUGAAGCCGGAAUCGCUAGUAAUGGCGCAUCAGCAAUGGCGCCGUGAAUACGUUCUCGGGCCUUGUACACACCGCCCGU